rnacentral:rRNA from 1 species
GCGGGUUUUUAGGACUUGAACCUGGGGAUGCUUGUCUACUCGAAGUCCAACUCCGAAUAUGGCUUGGAUUUGUUCCAGAGAGGGUGAAAGCCCCGUACGGGUAGACAUACUUGUUUUAAAGCAUUCCUUAGAUGUUCAGGUCUUCGAGUCGGAUUGCUUGAAAAUGCAGUCCAAAGUGGGUGGUAAACUCCAUCCAAGGCUAAAUACUGGCACGAGUCCGAUAGUAAACAAGUACCGCGAGGGAAAGUUGAAAAGUACUCUGAAGAGAGAGUAAAUAGUACGUGAAGCCGCCUGUAUGGAAGCUGGUGGAGUCAAGCUUCUUAUUGUGGGAAUUGUCAUGGAGACGCAUCUUUUCGUGGAUUAGGGUGUCAUUGGCUUGGAAAUCGCCUGACGGUUCGCCGUUUCUAGUGUUCCGGGCAGUAUGCUUGUUGUGACGCCUGAUCUCCAGUCUCUUAUGUUAUUUCCCAUAAUAGUUAUCACAGUCAAUGUGUAUCGUUAUGCGUGGUAGUUAAACCAGGUUUUAGUGAGUUUAACGCUCACUAGGCUUGGGAUGGCAGGUGGAUGUAUUCCGGCUCGUCUGGUUUACUUCGUAUACUAGCUUCGGCUUGCUGACUAUCAUGCGUCAAUAAUUGUGCAUAUUGUUCCUAUUGUGACAGUGUCCGCAAUGGUAGCUGUCAUAAAGAGCUGUGGUAUUGAGGUAGACGUUCCAUCCGACCCGUCUUGAAACACGGACCAAGGAGUUUAACAUUUCCGCGAGUCAAUGGCCUUAUUACGAAAGCCAAUGACGCAAUGAAAGUGAAAGAUCGCAUUCGUGAUCGAAGGUGUGAUGCUUGCGUGCCUUGAAUUGGGCUGUGAGCCGCAACACCGGCCCGUCUCAAAAUGUAGUCGGGACUGCCACGGUAAUCUUGCAUCAUUGAGGCGGAGCAAGAGCGGAAUUGUUGAAACCCAA